GGGACAGGCCAGGAAGAACCUGACCUGGUGUGCAGCGUGGCAUGCUGGGCGCCUGGGUGGAGGCAUGUUCAGGUCUCUCAGACGUGGAUUUCACAGGGUCACAAGCAAAGCAGAGCUUCAAGGAUCACAAAGCGCUCUUACCUGGCCGAGCCCGCUGCAUGCUGGGAGGACACUCCGGAGAGUGGCAGACAAGACAGCCUUAGCUUAGGGAGGAUGGAAAGGAAUGACGAAGGAAGGCAUCUCGUGCUGUGAUGUAAGCCCUGGAUUGGGAGCUGGGCCCCCUGGCCUCCAACUGCAGCCCUGCCAUCCGGAGUGGU